rnacentral:piRNA from 1 species
AAGGAGCUCUUAUGGAGGUGGCU